rnacentral:rRNA from 1 species
AGAGUUUGAUCAUGGCUCAGAUUGAACGCUGGCGGCAGGCCUAACACAUGCAAGUCGAACGGUAGCACAGAGAGCUUGCUCUCGGGUGACGAGUGGCGGACGGGUGAGUAAUGUCUGGGAAACUGCCUGAUGGAGGGGGAUAACUACUGGAAACGGUAGCUAAUACCGCAUAACGUCGCAAGACCAAAGAGGGGGACCUUCGGGCCUCUUGCCAUCAGAUGUGCCCAGAUGGGAUUAGCUAGUAGGUGGGGUAACGGCUCACCUAGGCGACGAUCCCUAGCUGGUCUGAGAGGAUGACCAGCCACACUGGAACUGAGACACGGUCCAGACUCCUACGGGAGGCAGCAGUGGGGAAUAUUGCACAAUGGGCGCAAGCCUGAUGCAGCCAUGCCGCGUGUAUGAAGAAGGCCUUCGGGUUGUAAAGUACUUUCAGCGGGGAGGAAGGUGUUGUGGUUAAUAACCUCAGCAAUUGACGUUACCCGCAGAAGAAGCACCGGCUAACUCCGUGCCAGCAGCCGCGGUAAUACGGAGGGUGCAAGCGUUAAUCGGAAUUACUGGGCGUAAAGCGCACGCAGGCGGUCUGUCAAGUCGGAUGUGAAAUCCCCGGGCUCAACCUGGGAACUGCAUUCGAAACUGGCAGGCUAGAGUCUUGUAGAGGGGGGUAGAAUUCCAGGUGUAGCGGUGAAAUGCGUAGAGAUCUGGAGGAAUACCGGUGGCGAAGGCGGCCCCCUGGACAAAGACUGACGCUCAGGUGCGAAAGCGUGGGGAGCAAACAGGAUUAGAUACCCUGGUAGUCCACGCCGUAAACGAUGUCGACUUGGAGGUUGUGCCCUUGAGGCGUGGCUUCCGGAGCUAACGCGUUAAGUCGACCGCCUGGGGAGUACGGCCGCAAGGUUAAAACUCAAAUGAAUUGACGGGGGCCCGCACAAGCGGUGGAGCAUGUGGUUUAAUUCGAUGCAACGCGAAGAACCUUACCUACUCUUGACAUCCAGAGAACUUUCCAGAGAUGGAUUGGUGCCUUCGGGAACUCUGAGACAGGUGCUGCAUGGCUGUCGUCAGCUCGUGUUGUGAAAUGUUGGGUUAAGUCCCGCAACGAGCGCAACCCUUAUCCUUUGUUGCCAGCGGUUAGGCCGGGAACUCAAAGGAGACUGCCAGUGAUAAACUGGAGGAAGGUGGGGAUGACGUCAAGUCAUCAUGGCCCUUACGAGUAGGGCUACACACGUGCUACAAUGGCGCAUACAAAGAGAAGCGACCUCGCGAGAGCAAGCGGACCUCAUAAAGUGCGUCGUAGUCCGGAUUGGAGUCUGCAACUCGACUCCAUGAAGUCGGAAUCGCUAGUAAUCGUAGAUCAGAAUGCUACGGUGAAUACGUUCCCGGGCCUUGUACACACCGCCCGUCACACCAUGGGAGUGGGUUGCAAAAGAAGUAGGUAGCUUAACCUUCGGGAGGGCGCUUACCACUUUGUGAUUCAUGACUGGGGUGAAGUCGUAACAAGGUAACC